AGUUUGAUCAUGGCUCAGGACGAACGCUGGCGGUGUGCUUCACACAUGCAAGUCGAACGAGGUAGCAAUACCUAGUGGCGGACGGGUGAGUAACGCGUGGGAAUCUGCCUUUAGAUGGGGGAUAACGGGUCGAAAGACUCGCUAAUACCGCAUAUGACGAAAGUUGAAAGGAGUAAUCCGUCUAAAGAUGGGCCCGCGUCCGAUUAGCUAGUUGGUAGAGUAAAAGCCUACCAAGGCGACGAUCGGUAGCUGGUCUGAGAGGAUGAUCAGCCACAAUGGGACUGAGACACGGCCCAUACUCCUACGGGAGGCAGCAGUGGGGAAUUUUACGCAAUGGGCGAAAGCCUGACGUAGCGACACCGCGUGAGCGAAGAAGCCCCUUGGGGUGUAAAGCUCUGUCAGCUGGAACGAAAAAAUGACGGUACCAGCAGAGGAAGCAUCGGCUAACUACGUG
rnacentral:rRNA from 1 species